AAUUGAGAGAUGUGAGUUUUCUUCAUUUUUUUUUUCAAUUGAAUUAUGAGGCUCGUAUGGUGAAGCAAAAGCAUCACCAAACAGGGAACAUGGUGCAAUAUUUGUUUAAGAUUCUUGGUAAUCAUAAGAUUAGCUGGAUAGUUUGUUUAUGUUUAAGGUAGGAGAUUGGGAGCGGGUUAAGUUUGAUAUUUAGUUAAUUGGUUUAGAGCUAGAGCGAAGCAAUGCCUGAGAUUAAAUGGUUAUAAAUGUACUACUGAAGGACCUCAAAUCUCAAUGCUAGUUAAGCAUGGGAAUGUGAUUAAAUUUUUGGCUGCUAAUUGUUUCUUUCAUAAUCUUUAGAGUAAUGUUGUCACGCAUUGUUAUUUAUCUUUUGCGUUUUUUCAUGAAUAAGAUUUUGAUGCGGUGUAUGUAAGUAACUUGGAGGAGAAUGGAACCUAAGCCUUGUUUGGGAGGAAGUUUUUUAGAAUAAACCUUCUGUUUGGGAGCCUCCAAAAAUCUCAAUUUUUAAUAACCUUCAUAUAACUCAAAAAACUUUCACUUUCCUCUAGAUAAAGUCCGUAACGAGAGU
rnacentral:misc_RNA from 1 species